AUACAUAUAUAUAUAUAUAUAUAAUUUUUGUUGUACUUUUCUUUGUUUUAGAAAUACAUGUUUUACUUAACUAUUUUUUUUCUUUGAAAUUAGGAACAAAGAAGUCAUUUUAAAAAAAAAAUAAUUUUUUUUUUAUAUGUAAAAUAAUUUUGUGUGUAUAUUUUUUAACUGCUAAGAAUUGUGCCUUGGUGAGUGAAUUGUGUAUUUACUUAUACAUUUGUAUUUAUAUAUAAUAUAUAUAUAUAAUUUUAGUUUAAAGUUAUAUCCUCAAGAUCUGAUAAAUUGUGCCAUUAAGGUGCAGAAAAUAAUUGUGAGUGAGACGUGAAUGAAACUAUAAAAAAAAAAGUUGUUUAUUUAGUGUUACCUUGUUGUUUUGUUAUCUAUUUACACUAUAUUUAUACAUUCCACAUGUAGAAAGUAGCUGGUUUGGCUGUGAAGUUUUUUAAGUUAUUUAGAUGGCACCUACUAUUUUAGUUGAACAGAAAUAUUCGAACAGCUUAAUUGAAAAUUGUUACAUUUUUUUAAAUAAUAUUUUGAAAAGUCAUUGUUACAAUAAUUAUGUAUAGUUUUUAUGAUGUUGACAUCUUUUUUUUUUUUUUUUG